GAAAUUUUGGAUAGAGAAAUGCCUCUGCUCUGUCUCCCCAAUUAUUUCCUAUUACUCCUUUUCCUAGAAUCACUUGUAGGAUCACUUGUAGGAUUGCAACCAAUUGCAGGAUUGGGGAUUUGGUUUAUUCUGUCUUGAAUGUAUUGUUUCAUGAGAAAUUUAGCUCUCUGUCUGGAACUUAGACUGCCUAAGGAACACUUGUGUCUUAUUUUGCUUUUUUCAGAGACAGAUAAAGCUUUUCCCACACAGACCUUCAACAACAGACCUUCACCAAGUAAAGCAGGCAUCCUGAGGAGAAUUCGAUUGUGUUAUGAAACACAUAGCAAACGGAGAAAAACAGGCUUUCCUAGUGAAGAAUUCAGAGUGGCUAAGUUAUGCACGGAAUUGGGAUUUUUCUCCCUAGUAGAAAAAACAAGGAAGGAUUUGAAUUUGGUAGAUAAGGCUACGCACUAUGCAGCUG
rnacentral:lncRNA from 1 species